UUAGUUAGAUAGUUUUUACCAGAUUAUUAAAACGCUGAAGUAAACUGUUUCUGUCAUUUAGAUUCAAUUUGUAAACUGUAGAAGCUUUUAGUAUUAUUUUGUUACUGUUCCUUAACUUUUUGCUUCAUCGAACUUUGAUCAAUAUAUUUGACCGAAACUGGCAAUGUUGUCUGUCAAGAACCCCAUCUUCAGCUUUAAUCCCGCCACUCUCUACCCAGUGCCACCCAGAUCUAAACAAUUCCAGGGUGUCGAAACCUCAUUUUCUCCCAACAGAUCAAAAACUAGCAGAACUCAACCUGCACAUCAACAACACCAACAACUGCAGCAGCAACAUCCAAGUGUUUCGUUCCAACCGACUGUGAAUAGCUCCUCGUCUCUCUAUUGGGCUAGAACGACACCAUGUUUAGAGACAGUAGACGAACACAGACCGAACAGCUCUUCUCAUUUAAGAUCUGAUCACACUUAUGAUAGCAACUUUGCUGUUUCGGAAAGGCAGAGUCAGCCGUCGCAACUUGUCGUUUCGGGUAAUUCGUUUGUAGCGGCACCCUACGGUCGUAGUCGAAGAUCGAACACCUUUCACCAUCCGUCUAGGCCUCCGAGUGGCCAACAGCAGACGAGAACACAAAAUCAGUACAGUCCCCCCGGAGUAGAGUGCGUUUCCGCCCAUUCCCCCACACACCCCCAAGGAGGCGGCAAAGAAGGCAUCUUGAAGAAAAGAGGCGGCGGAUUUGACCCACAGAAAUUGACUUACAUUACUUCUCAGACCGGCAACAAUAGCAGUAACAAUAAACUCAAAAACAGCAACGCCGGCCCCUAUGAUCUAAAUGGCAACUGGGAACCGGCCCUCUCAACCACCCCCUCGUCAUCCAACUCAAUAAAUACUAUAACCCCGCUUUCAGAUUACUCGCCUCCCUUGCAAUCACUAAAUAGGGUCAGUUCACCACAUGUUCCAAACUACAACCAGACUGUAUUGAGUUCUAACGACUCAAGGCCGCAUUUAAUAGACCAUGCAGCACCUAUUUGGCAACUGAGGUCUAGAGAUUUACAAUUGGAAUCUUCGAGUGAAGGUUUGUGCAGUGACAGUGCGACUGACAGACUGCAGUCUAAAGUAAACGCGGCAUGGUUUCAGUCUAGCUUAGAUGACAUUGCUGACAAGAGAGACAAUAAAACGAUAAAAUCCCCUCGCCUCAGAAAUGGAGACAGUCAGCAGAUUAAUCAACUGAAUCAGAGCUCAUCUCCCAAGCAGGUGUCUCUUUACGACAACGUGAACUACCUUGUAAAACGAUCGAACACUGAGUUAUUUCAUGACAGAUCCACAUCUUUCUCACCCUCACCUAAAACAUCACCACAACUCCACCACCAACAAACCGAUCCUAAAUUCCAAAACAGUCGACAGCUUUCGUCUGAAAUUACUUCUUUAAAUGGAAGUGUCGAAGACAUUUGGGUGAAAAAACCGGCUGGUGGUAACCAUUCUGCUGGCCAAUCAAGUUCAAGCAUUUCCAAUAGUGCUGUGAGUAGUAACGCAAACAGCAGCGAAAACAUGGCGCCGCAGCGCAGCUAUAAACUAAUUGACCCGUGCUUGCAUUCUUCCAAUCCGCAAAAUCCGACUUAUAAAACAUCCGAUAUGAAACAGUCGCGCACUUCAGUUAGUAUUCAGAGCGACUCGUAUAACUUCGGCGGACCAAUCAGAAAACAGAGCGGCGGAAUGUGUGCAACACAGUCCAUUUCAAGCCUCGAUUCAUUUCAAGACGACUUAAACGGAAGCGGACUUUUGCCAUUGGGCGAACUUUGCGAUAGUUUUGCAAACGGUGUCGAAAAUAUUGUCACCAGUUACGAAAAGCUUGACGUAGAAGAAAAAACUGGAACUAUGAAUAAAGUUUUUAAAAGUUGGUCCGGAGACAAAAAUAGAAUAUGCAUGAAACCCCCGCCUUUUAAAGCCGCCGUUGCUUCGCUUUAUUCCCUCAGAACACGCUCUAAUAAUAACAGUUUUUCCGAUUGGUCAGUUAAUAGAGUUGGAAUGAACAACUUCCGAGCUACCUCCGUGAAGUCGCACAUUGAUCAAACGGUUUCCGUUCCGAGCACGCCUGUUCAGAAAAAUUACCAUCAUCAUCGACAGAGCAUUUCAAGCAGUCGACAAAAUAAUCACGAGAGAAUUUUCUCAACUCAAUCUGAAAUGAACGUUGCGAAUGUUUCAAGCAGCGUUGAGAGCCACGAAACGCCGAAUCACACGUUACUGAAAAACUACCGAUCGGAAUUGAUUCUCGCACAGACUUUAUCUUCAGUUGACAGUUUGGCCUUAAAACAGAGGUCAAAAUCCCAGGUCACCUCCAGAGAUGCUCCGAGAACCAAUCGUGCCAAGUCUUCGAGUGAUUUAUCUUCCUCGGGUGCUCUGACAAUCAGCGAUGAUUUUCGCAAGUCAUUUUCGUCCACGAGAAGGUCUAAUCUCAAUACAGAAGUGAGCGUUUCCAAGAACUCGACGAUCGUGGGAUCGCACAAAACAAAUACAGCAAACGAAAGAAACGAAUGGAAGAAGUCAUCAGAAGCAAGUGAAAGCAGCAUUGAAGCUUCAUUGAUGGUGGCGCUAAUGAUGGUACGAAUUACCAAAAAAUCGCCAAGGGAAUAGGAGUCAAAUGGGAAAUGGUAAAAUUAUACAGCAGCAGUCUUCAUUUCUGGAGAGAGCUAUGAUGGAACAAUGUGAACGAAAUCUACACAUGAAUGGUGUUGAUGUUGUAAAUCACACAGCACCGGCACAGCAGAAUAGCCGCCAUUUUGCCCCUCUUACCAACAACGUGGAAGCUAAAAAGAGUGGAAUUACAAUAAGCAAUGGGAAUGGAACAUAUGAAAAUGUGCUGCGUGAACAAUUGGUGGACGAGUUUUUGGAUAGUGUGAAGGCAGCGGAAGAAAUAGAAGAGAGGGGCAUACUAAUGGAGGAGACGGAGCUUCAAAAGCUGCAACAGACGAGGUGGAUGGGAUUAUAUUAGUUGAACUGAAUUCAGAAAAUACUGCAAACAGCGGUGCUGGUGGUAUUAGUGAACUAGUGACAUUUGAACAUGUGGCUCCUUCAGCAAUUGAUUCUACUCCCCCCAGCAGCGUGACAAGUGGACUUAGUUCACAGCAUUUAAUUGAAGAAGCGUCUGUGACACAUAUUGAUAGUAGUGGUCAGUCUGAGAGGCUUUCCAGUCCAUCAAAGGAGCAAAAGAAUUUGAUCAGUAUCGAAUCAGAUUUACCUUUACCUCUGACAUUGAGAGCUUCAAAACUGCACGCAAAUUCUGAUUCCUUCCACUGUGCCUCGGAAAAAGGCGUAGAGAGUGCAAACCAAUCACCUACCGAGAAUCCAGUUUAUAGUUUGAAAUCCGAAUUACUAAACUACCAAAACCUCAGAAAGCGAAACGACAUUACAGAACUUGACCAACCCGAGUUCGACUCGUCUUCUCGUGUUGUAAUCAAAUUGGCAAAUG